rfam:Ipomoea nil DNA, scaffold: scaffold3056, cultivar: Tokyo-kokei standard.
AUCGUUGAGUAUAGUGGUGAGUAUCCCCGCCUGUCACGCGGGAGACCCGGGUUUGAUCCCUGGCAACGGCG